rnacentral:rRNA from 1 species
UACGUAGGCAGCGAGCGUUGUUCGGAGUUACUGGGCGUAAAGGGUGUGUAGGCGGUCUCUUAAGUUUGGUGUGAAAUCUCCCGGCUCAACUGGGAGGGUGCGCCGAAAACUGGGGGACUUGGAGUGCGGGAGAGGAGAGUGGAAUUCCUGGUGUAGCGGUGAAAUGCGUAGAUAUCAGGAGGAACACCGGUGGUGCAGACGGCUCUCUGGACCGUAACUGACGCUGAGACACGAAAGCGUGGGGA